rnacentral:lncRNA from 1 species
CCCUAGGAAGUAGUUAGUGUUUUUCCCAUCUGAUCCAUUCAGGGAUACCAGACACUUCAGGUCCAUAGGAUUUUCUUAAUUCCAUAUGCAUGGAAAUAAGGGCAUCAAUGAUCAGUUUCCGAAGACUGGAAGUUGCUGCCGUUGCGUAUAUCUGAUGAGUACACCAAAGCUUCUAGCUCAGUGGAUGAUGCAAGGGUUGCUUUCCUGAACAUCCACCACUGUUCUGAAAAAAUAACACAAC